rnacentral:rRNA from 1 species
GAUGAACGCUGGCGGCGUGCCUAAUACAUGCAAGUCGAGCGAACAGACGAGGAGCUUGCUCCUCUGACGUUAGCGGCGGACGGGUGAGUAACACGUGGAUAACCUACCUAUAAGACUGGGAUAACUUCGGGAAACCGGAGCUAAUACCGGAUAAUAUAUUGAACCGCAUGGUUCAAUAGUGAAAGACGGUUUUGCUGUCACUUAUAGAUGGAUCCGCGCCGCAUUAGCUAGUUGGUAAGGUAACAGCUUACCAAGGCAACGAUGCGUAGCCGACCUGAGAGGGUGAUCGGCCACACUGGAACUGAGACACGGUCCAGACUCCUACGGGAGGCAGCAGUAGGGAAUCUUCCGCAAUGGGCGAAAGCCUGACGGAGCGACGCCGCGUGAGUGAUGAAGGUCUUCGGAUCGUAAAACUCUGUUAUUAGGGAAGAACAAAUGUGUAAGUAACUAUGCACGUCUUGACGGUACCUAAUCAGAAAGCCACGGCUAGCUACGUG